CCGAUCAGGUUGUUGGUGGGGUAACGGCUCACCAAGCCUAUAACCGGUACGGGCCCUGAGAGGGGAAGCCCGGAGAUGGAACCUGAGACAAUGUUCCAGGCCCUAUGGGGCGCAGCAGGCGCGAAACCUCCACAAUGCACGAAAUUGUGAUGGGGUUACCCCGAGUGCCUUCCUUAAAGGAGGGCUUUUCUUCGGUGUAAGGAGCCAGAGGAAUAAGGAGGGGGCAAGAUUGGUGUCAGCCGCCGCGGUAAUACCAACCCUCCGAGUGGUACGGAUGAUUAUUUGGCUUACAGCGUCCGUAGCUGGCUUGAAAAGUCUUCCGU
rnacentral:rRNA from 1 species